rnacentral:rRNA from 1 species
GACGUAGGGCGCGAGCGUUGUCCGGAAUUAUUGGGCGUAAAGAGCUCGUAGGCGGUCUGUCGCGUCUGCUGUGAAAACUCAGGGCUUAACCCUGAGCUUGCAGUGGGUACGGGCAGACUAGAGUGCGGUAGGGGAGACUGGAAUUCCCGGUGUAGCGGUGAAAUGCGCAGAUAUCGGGAAGAACACCCGUGGCGAAGGCGGUUCUCUGGGACGGUACUGACGCUGAGACGCGAAAGCGUGGGGAGCGAACAGG